UACGAAGGGUGCAAGCGUUACUCGGAAUUACUGGGCGUAAAGCGUGCGUAGGUGGUUUGUUAAGUCUGCUGUGAAAGCCCCGGGCUCAACCUGGGAAUGGCAGUGGAUACUGGCAAGCUAGAGUGCGGUAGAGGGUAGUGGAAUUCCCGGUGUAGCGGUGAAAUGCGUAGAGAUCGGGAGGAACACCAGUGGCGAAGGCAGGUCUCUGGGCCACUAUUGACGCUGAGGUGCGAAAGCGUGGGGGAGCAAACAGG
rnacentral:rRNA from 1 species